rnacentral:rRNA from 1 species
GUCUCUGACCAUGCUACCCUGAACAAGCCCGAUCCUGUCUGAUUUCAGAAGCUAAGCAUGGUCGGUCCCAGUUAGUACUUGGAUGGGAGACCACCUAGGAAGACCAGGUGCCGUAGGCA